UACGAAGGGGGCAAGCGUUGUUCGGAAUUACUGGGCGUAAAGGGCGCGUAGGCGGCUUAUCAAGUCAGGCGUGAAAUUCCCGGGCUCAACCUGGGGGCUGCGCUUGAUACUGAUGAGCUUGAAUGCGGGAGAGGAUAGUGGAAUUCUCGGUGUAGAGGUGAAAUUCGUAGAUAUCGAGAGGAACACCGGUGGCGAAGGCGGCCAACUGGACAGAUACUGACGCUGAGACACGAAAGCGUGGGGAGCAAACAGG
rnacentral:rRNA from 1 species